GGCUAUUUUGAUUCUGAAAUCUAGGCUUUAGAAGCAAUCAUCCUCCUUUUGAAUCUCUGAAUUCCUCUGGAAAGCAACAUGGAAGCACUUUUGAAAUAGACAGCUGAACAAGCCAGGCAAAACACCUUUAAGGUUUUUCAGGGGGAGAGGGAAUUGCGAGAACUGCGAGAUAUUUUAGAGUUACUACAAAGAUCAACAGCAAAAACCAAGUGCACAGAUCGCAUUCCCAAGUUUACACUGCCACCUUAAGAGGAAGACUGGAAGUGCAACCUACAACCAGACCAGUCUUUCAACACUUCCCGAAGCCUGGACAUUUCUGAUUGUACUGCAAUUCCUUGUCUGAAAUCUCAACAUCUAAUAAAAGCUCUAAAGAUGUAAGUUGUAAGAGAAAAGAAUGAGAGCAGCAGAAGUACAGGAAAAAGCAAAUGACAGAGAGAGUCAAAGUAUAGAGAGAACACUGAACAGAAAGUCAAGAAUUCACCAAGUCAGCAAUAAACAAUGAUGUAGUUUCUCCAUGUCCAUAAUGGAUAAUCUUCCAUCUGAGAAGAUUGUAAUAAUAGCUAGGCAGCAAUUGAUUGAUGUAUUACAGAUACGUUAGGGAAUCCUGUUGGACUGUGAUAUUUCCAGUUGUUCAAGUUAUAUAUCUUACUUCUGUAGCAUAGGAAAACAAAGCUGAGGAUGAUUGUAUGGAAAUGCACAGCAUUAUGUACACAUUGAUAUCACACAGCUGAGUAAUGAUAUCUAUCAAAAACCAAAACAAAGUAACAGAGGAAAAUAACUAGAUAUUCCAGAAGCAGAAUACUAGCGGUGUUAUCUCCACCAGUCUUGAGAAACUCUUAUCUUCACAAGAUCUCAUCUGCUGUGUAAAUAUGAAUUACUUCACCACCAGUAAAUCACAGGUAACUCAGCAACAGACAUAACUUAACAAUACAUUAUAAACUAUAUCAGGGCAUAUGUGUCCUUGAAGGAUUUACUCUAUAUUAUGCAACUAAUCCUGAUGUGUAAUUCCAUUAAUCCAUCUUCUGUCCUGGAGGAGUGCAAAAUGCUAGAGGGAAGCUGCUUGUAAAUAAAAUAUUA